AGGUAGUUGGUGGGGUAAGAGCCUACCAAGCCUAUGACGCCUAGCUGGUCUGAGAGGAUGAUCAGCCACACUGGAACUGAGACACGGUCCAGACUCCUACGGGAGGCAGCAGUGGGGAAUAUUGCACAAUGGGGGAAACCCUGAUGCAGCAACGCCGCGUGGAGGAUGACGCAUUUCGGUGUGUAAACUCCUUUUAUAUACCAAGAUAAUGACGGUAGUAUAUGAAUAAGCACCGGCUAACUCCGUGCCAGCAGCCGCGGUAAUACGGAGGGUGCAAGCGUUACUCGGAAUCACUGGGCGUAAAGGAUGCGUAGGCGGGUAAUCAAGUUGAAAGUGAAAUCCUAUGGCUUAACCAUAGAACUGCUCUCAAAACUGGUUACCUAGAAUAUGGAAGAGCAGAUGGAAUUAGUGGUGUAGGGGUAAGAUCCGUAGAGAUCACUAGAAUACCGAUUGCGAAGGCGAUCUGCUGGGACAUUAUUGACGCUGAGGCAUGAAAGCGUGGGGAGCGANCAGGAUAGAUACCUNGUAGUCCACGCCNUAAACGAUGUACACUAGUUGUUGCGAUGCUCGUCAUUGCAGUAAUACAGUUAACACAUUAAGUGUACCGCCUGGGGAGUACGGUCGCAAGAUUAAAACUCAAAGGAAUAGACGGGGACCCGCACAAGCGGUGGAGCAUGUGGUUUAAUUCGAAGAUACGCGAAGAACCUUACCUAGACUUGAAAUCCUUGGAAUCUUUCAGAGAUGAGAGAGUGCUUGUUUACAAGAACCAAGUGACAGGUGCUGCACGGCUGUCGUCAGCUCGUGUCGUGAGAUGUUGGGUUAAGUCCCGCAACGAGCGCAACCCUCGUGAUUAGUUGCUAACAGUUCGGCUGAGCACUCUAAUCAGACUGCCUUCGUAAGGAGGAGGAAGGUGAGGACGACGUCAAGUCAUCAUGGCCCUUAUGUCUAGGGCUACACACGUGCUACAAUGGUUGGGACAAAGAGCAGCGAUACCGCGAGGUGGAGCAAAUCUUAAAACCCAAUCUCAGUUCGGAUAGGAGUCUGCAACUCGACUCCUUGAAGCUGGAAUCGCUAGUAAUCGUAGAUCAGCAAUGCUACGGUGAAUACGUUCCCGGGUCUUGUACUCACCGCCCGUCA
rnacentral:rRNA from 1 species